GGGCAGCAUGGUCUUAGCUUGCUAAGGCCGAUGGCGACCGGCGCACGGGUGAGUAACACGUAUCCAACCUGCCGUCUAUUCUUGGACAGCCUUCUGAAAGGAAGAUUAAUACAAGAUGGCAUCAUGAGUCCGCAUGUUCACAUGAUUAAAGGUAUUCCGGUAGACGAUGGGGAUGCGUUCCAUUAGAUAGUAGGCGGGGUAACGGCCCACCUAGUCUUCGAUGGAUAGGGGUUCUGAGAGGAAGGUCCACCACAUUGGAACUGAGACACGGUCCAAACUCCUACGGGAGGCAGCAGUGAGGAAUAUUGGUCAAUGGGCGAGAGCCUGAACCAGCCAAGUAGCGUGAAGGAUGACUGCCCUAUGGGUUGUAAACUUCUUUUAUAAAGGAAUAAAGUCGGGUAUGCAUACCCGUUUGCAUGUACUUUAUGAAUAAGGAUCGGCUAACUCCGUGCCAGCAGCCGCGGUAAUACGGAGGAUCCGAGCGUUAUCCGGAUUUAUUGGGUUUAAAGGGAGCGUAGAUGGAUGUUUAAGUCAGUUGUGAAAGUUUGCGGCUCAACCGUAAAAUUGCAGUUGAUACUGGAUAUCUUGAGUGCAGUUGAGGCAGGCGGAAUUCGUGGUGUAGCGGUGAAAUGCUUAGAUAUCACGAAGAACUCCGAUUGCGAAGGCAGCCUGCUAAGCUGCAACUGAC
rnacentral:rRNA from 1 species